GACUCCGUAGCUCAGCUGGAUAGAGCAUCAGAUUCCUAAUCUGAGGGUCGCGCGUUCGAACCGCGCCGGGGUCA
rnacentral:tRNA from 1 species